rnacentral:rRNA from 1 species
GACGAACGCUGGCGGCAUGCUUAACACAUGCAAGUCGAACGCUGACGCUCAGCUUUUGUUGGGUGGAUGAGUGGCGAACGGGUGAGUAACACGUGAGUAACCUGCUCUCUUCUUUGGGAUAACGCCCGGAAACGGGUGUUAAUACUGGAUAUCCACUGGUCUUCGCAUGGGGGCUGGUGGUAAGGGUUUUUUGGGUGGGUGAUGGGGUCGCGGCCUAUUAGCUUGUUGGUGGGGUGAUGGCCUACCAAGGCUUUGACGGGUAGCCGGCCUGAGAGGGUGACCGGUCACAUUGGGACUGAGAUACGGCCCAGACUCCUACGGGAGGCAGCAGUGGGGAAUAUUGCACAAUGGGCGCAAGCCUGAUGCAGCGACGCCGCGUGAGGGAUGGAGGCCUUCGGGUUGUGAACCUCUUUCGCUCAUGGUCAAGCCGCAACAAUGGUUGUGGUGAGGGUAGUGGGUAAAGAAGCGCCGGCUAACUACGUG